rnacentral:misc_RNA from 1 species
GCAUUCCUCCUUGACAUUACCCGCCCACCGGUACAAGCCAGUAGGGCUAGGCAGUCAUUCUAAGAGAAGCGAGAACGCUAAACAAGGGCAAAACAAGAUUUCAUGAGACCCAAUGCCCACAUCAAGUUCCUCUCUGUCAUUCAAAGAGAAUCAAGAAUGUGAAACUAGCAUCACAUGAGACCCUAAAUACCCACAUAAAGUUCCAUAUCCAUGAUACCACACAAUACUCAAUGGUCCACACCACCAACACAUUCAUUAACAAUGUGGUUCAAAGAGAUUGCUUCAAGGUUCAUCUCAAGCCAUGUAAAUGGCACAAGACGAAAGCGACUUCAAUCGAUCAACAUAAUACCAUCACUUAGGUAGGCAACACAGGAAACCCACAAUCCGCUCAGGCAAUACAAGCCUAAACAACCAACUGAAGAGGUAUGCAGGGUGGAAGUUGUU